GCAAGUCGCCUCUCCGGCCCUGUCCUUGGUUUACCGCAUUCCCGUAGAGGGGACACUCCUACCGACCCCGUCAGCUGUCACGUACUCUCAUGCCAUUGUACUCCCAGAUCGUGUUGGAUCAUUUCAACAGCCACUGGCACGCAAGGAGAGACGCCGAGGCUCUGAGAGCUGAGAAAAUCGAGGCGCAAAGAGCUACAGACGUUUUCUCAGAGCUGCUGUCAGAGAUGAGAAAUCUGGGGCUGGAGAGAUCAAAGGGUGUUUCCAAAAUCACACAUCUAGGAAGACGUCACCAGGCCACUCUUGGAGCGCCAACUACACACUAAGUCCUGCGCAAGCCCUGGAGGGUGAAGAUAAACACGGCGUUUUCUGUCAAGCUCUCCUACUCCGGCAGCGGCCGAGCGCCUGUGAUUCUGCUGUGAUUCUUCGUAACACGCUCCUUGGCAUGAUCAAAUCACAGGAAACCAUUCUCUUCAACAUCAGAGUCUCCAUUUCUGAGAAGGCAAUAGAAUAAUCAAUUUCCUACAAUGUUGCUUUGCACAGGAAAGAGCUUGAUUGAAAACCAAAGCCACUGAUUGUAUCUCCCGUCUACUCUGAGGAGGCUUUUCGUCCUGGUUCUUUGAGAUCUUGGCCAUGAUGGCUUGUUGGCAGAUGGGUCCAUCUCUAUAUUGGGCGUGGUAAAAGGCAGGGUCCUGAGUUAAUGGCACAUCUCUUCCCACCCCAGAAGUGACCAUGUAACAAUCUCAGAUAGCCACUCCUCUGGUUCUUUCUGGAUUUAGAAACUUGUGUGGGCUGCGGACGUGCUACUUCUCCUGCAUGUAUAAUCGGGAUCCCGAGUGUGACCAAAACCCAGCUCUGCUGGGCCCGAACUGUCCAGCUUCCAUCUCCAACUGGGGAGAAGGCCAGGCUGCUUUCCUGCCCUUGUUGUCAGGCCUGGAGCAACAGAUGAAAUGAUGGAAUGGAAAGGUGAUUUGGACUCUCCGCGAACGCGGCAAAGUGCAGACCCGGAAGGAAUGUGUGCUGGCGAGUGCUGGGGGCUCCAGAGGUGGGCCUGCCCUGAAGGCUGACACGCGUAACAGCAUUUCCUGGCUCCCCCAAUGGAAGGCCGUGGGUUUGGUAGGAAGAAUUCAUGUGGCAUCCAAAAAUCUCAUUUGAACUCCAACUCUACUGUUUGUUAGCUGUGGGGGCUCCGGAUCGGUCAACAUCUUUGAACCAAAAUUUCUUCAUCCUUUGAAUGAAGUUAAUAAUGGGAGGGGUGAAAUAAGGUUAUAAACAUAAAGGUGACUUGACAAAAUGUAAAGACCAUAUAAAAUGUUAACUAUUGUCAUACUAAUUGAUGCUAUUGUGCCAAAUAUCAAUUUAUUGCCUGUUAGCUCCAAAUUCACCUUUUACUGCUUGCUCUGUGAUGAUGAAGGACCCUGGAAAUAUUUUCCCUUUGUCAGCUCAUGCAAUGUUUAGCUUUUCCAGUAGAGGGCGCAGAAGGGACAGGUCAAGAAGAAGGGACUUCACUCUGGUGGGCUGCUUCCUCCUCCUACCAUUCUGCUGCCAGAGUCACAUUUAGGGACAUCUAGUGGGGCUCCCCCUAUCAAGUUGUGGUGGCCACCCUAUGGACAAUUUCCCUCUGACUUUCAGUGCCACCUCUAAGGGCUCACAGGCUCUCCAGCGGCCAGCUCCCAGCUUUGCCUGCAUCACAGUAGGUUUCCAGUUUGUCAGUCAUGCCUGUGGUUUCUUGCCUCCCAUCUUUGGCCCGCAAGCACGACGGAGGACCCCUUCUUUCUUACCAAUUCCAGCUGUGGGCCCCUGCCCAUCAGUCUCAGCCUCCUUAUACCUUGGAGGGGUAUUUCAGCUGCAGUUCCCUGUCCACCACCCUCGUCCUGGUGUCUGGGCAUCAGCUUUGAUCUGGGACAAGCCACUGAGCUUCUCUGCUGUCCACAGAGUACAACCUACACCUCCAAUGAGGAGAGCCCCAUCCUUGGAGAAAGCCCUCUGUCUUCCCAGUUUAUUGGGAUGCCCUCCAUCAACCUUAGGGAAUUCUUAGGUGACUCAUCACUCCUUUAUAGAUGAACUGUCGCUAUUGUUCUAGUUAGUCAUUAUUUAUGUUACAUUUUCUCUGUUCAAAUAACUGUAUGCAUUCUGUCUCCUGAUUGUGCCCUGGCUGAUGGAGAACUGUUGUGGCAAGUAGUCUCAGGAGAUAGACCCACAAAGAUGAGAUUUAAGGAUUGGUUUGGUUGUGUCUUUAAACUUGAAUGUAAUGCUGGGUUUUUUGUUUUUGUUUCCUAAUGGGAAAUGAGAAGCUAGUGGUCCAUGACAUGCAGUGGCCUGCUGGUUAGUCAAGCUGUCACCUGUGGUUGAAUGUGGUGAGGUGCCAACUGAAGAUAUGCCUUGGGAGCCCAAGUGGCUCCUGCACAUGACCAUUUGGUAGUAAUGAUAACCACGCGAGCUGUGGUGUGGGAGGACUCUUCUGAGUACAAGCGAGCAAUUUCAGAACAAAAAAUGACAAACUCUAGUCCUUUAACUAUCAACUCAAGUCCUAUGUUAAGGAUCAGAAAGACCCUAAAAUAUGCUGUUUUUUCUUAUAACCACAGGGCUACUAUUAGGAAAAUCAACAAAAAAAAUGUAUUGGGCAGGUUGCUGAAUUAAAAUGGCAGUUGCGUUCAAAGUCUUGUCAAGUUUAUCACGUGAAAGUCAGGACAUUUAUUGGGGAUUACGAAGAUAUGAAAGUCUGGCAUGAGAACAACUGGUUGGAUGCAGAUGAUACCUCCAAGUUGCUCCGAGUCCAUUUGCCACUGAAAUUGACUUCUUGGAGACUAGCCUUCCUUUACCCGAAAACCUUCUCAUAACUUUACCUGGGGUCGGUUAUUCCUGUCCCAUGCCUUAAUAGAGGCUGAUUAUUUUCUUCAAAAUCUACCACAACCACGUCUGUUGCCCCUGGAUCCAUAGCCAAGGUCACAUCUGUACCGGCUCCAGCAAUAAAAAUACCUACCAAAGCCCAGGUGGAAAUAGUUUAAACCAAAAAGGAUUUAAAUUUCUGCUAAUAUAUAAGUAGAAAGCAGGGCACAUGAGUGGAAGCUGAUUUGAUAGAUGUUAGACCAAAGAAGGUAGAAUAUAACAAUAGAGUGGGCCAAAUUCAUUUGAUAUUACUAAAUAUUCCAGAUCAUGUGCUAACUCCUACAUCUAGCGGUGGCUCUCCUAGCUUCCUUGGGAACUAUGAACGUGCUGGAGAGGUGCAGUUUGUAGAGUGAGUAAAUGCAGAGGAUUUCAAGCCUCCUCUCUACCCUCCAAAAGACCAACUUUGCUGGGGAGAAAACCAUAUAGAUCCAUGUGAAAAGUGAGUCAGAAACAAUCUCUUAGGAAGGCAGCCACCUGGGAACAGUGGGAAAACAAGCAGCAUAAAUAGCCACAACUGUGGUGUUCAGAAGGGUGGGCUGGAGGAGUCAGAAACCAUUCGUUGGAAGGGAAGGGCUCUUGUUGGAGGUGGAGGGAUGCCUAGGUGUGGGGCGGUCAUGACAAUGGAGUGGGGUAGCUGAAAGAGAGAGGCAGGCUUUUAGAUCAAGAGUGAAAGCAUGGCCACAGAGCAGGGUCUUCAGAUCUGUGGAGUCUGACAAAUGUCCCACAGAUGCUUAGGGAAACUCAAGGUCCCAACAACAGACUGACUCCCAUGUGUAAGUAUGACCUAUGACCUCAGCAUCUUUGGCCUGUGUCUGGGGCUGCAGUGCUUCCUUUCCAGAUCCAAAUGGCUCAUAACCACAGUAAUAGCACUUUGAUAAGAUGCAAUAGUAUUGCGACUGGGAUUUUGGUAAAAAAAAAAUAUGGCUCAGUCCUUGGGCAAGUGGCUUCCCCUUGGUGAAUUUGCCUUCCUGCUUAAACGAUGAGAAACUUGCACUAGGCCGUCCCUCAAGCUUUGAGAAUUUAGGAUUCUUGUCUUUAUGUUUUUUAAAGUUAAGUCCAUACAAAGUGUCCUAUUUGAAGGUCUAGAAACCAGUAAGACAGGAACAGAGGUACCAGUUUCUCUGAGAAGAGACUAUCCACAUCAGCGUGGAAAGAAAAAUCAAUGGGCUCUACUUGUCCUGUCUUCCAGACUCUGAUGUUCAUAACGUUGCUUCACUUUAGGCUUCUGAGCAUUUGUAGUAGUUGGUUAACCAAAAGCGCCAUUAAAAGAACUACAAUCCUAUACUUUAGCUGAAUAUAAAGAAUAUAUUCAAAAUCAAUGUUAAAUGGUUAAUUGACCAGUAUUUCUUUAGAGGUAUAAGCUCCCCAGCCCUGGGGUGUGCAGAUAUCAGCAGAAUGACUCUCUUCUAGGAGUGUCACAAAAGGGCGUUUCUGAAUGACAUAGAACCCAGAGAACACGUGCCAAGCUGUCACUGUCCGGAUUUAUGCUGAUUAAGCUAUGAGAUAAAUAUGUGUGCUGGUCACCUGGGGUUGGCUUACUCCACCUAUCAUAGCAGAGAAGGAAACACUUCCUCUGUUCGUGGGUCUAUUUCUGAAUUGCAUGGAUAUUACAACCCUUAUAUAUCAGUACCUUACGCUUUUUUCUUAACUAAGGAAGAGACUUGUGAAAAGAAAUAAGAGAAGACACAGAAAGCUGGGUGACUGCCACAAGGCUAAAUUGGAUAUGUCAUGAAUAAUAAAAUAAAGAUGAAAUAUGCCUUAUUAUUUGCAAAUUUAACUAAAUCUAUGAGAAAUAUUUAAUUAUAGCUAUAAAAGUUGUCAUCAAAAUGACCUACCCUAAUAUGAACAUAAAAAGAGUAGACAAUGAAAUCUUCAUCAGUUAAUUAAAAUUUCUUAAUUUA